rnacentral:tRNA from 1 species
GGUAAGGUGUCCGAAAAAAGGUGUCGAGUUGUAGCCUCGAUCAUAAAGGUUUAAGUCCUUUUCUUAUCA